GGGGGUAAAUUAAUAAAAUAUAAAUAAUAAAAAAAUUUUUAAUAUUGGGGGGUAUUAAAGUAUUUUUUUAAAAAAAAAUAAAUUAUUUUAUAGUUAAUUAGUAUUGAAAAAGAAAUUUGAAAUAAUUGAAAAUGAAUUAAUGAAAAAGUAAUUUUUAUUUGAUGUAUCUUGUGUAUCAGAGUUUAUAAAAAAAUAUUUUUUUUAUAAAGAAAUCUCGAAUUUAAAAGAGUUAAUUAAUUAUAAAAGUUAAUGUAGAAAAAUUAUUUUAAAUAAUUAAUUUGAAAUGAAAUGUUAAUCGUUUUUGAAGAUAUCUAGUUAUUUUAGAAAAAAAUUUAAUUUAAAAUUUAAAAAAUUUUAUUUUUAAUUAUAAUUAAAAAUAAAAUUUUAAAAUUAAAUAUAUUAAGGGAUAAGCUUUAAUAUAAAAUUUUAUAAUUAAAAUUAAAGUUAAAUAAAAAUUUUAAAAUUUAUAUUGUUUAAAAAUUAUAAUUUAUUAUAAAAAAAUUUUAUUUAAAAUAAAAUUUAAUAAAAAUUUAAUUUUUUAUAAAAUAAUAAUAAAAAUAAUAAAAAAUUAAAAAUAAUGAUAAAAUUAGUAUAUUAAUUUAAAAUAUAAUUUAAUUAAUAAAAAUUAAAUUAAAGGAAUUCGGCAAAAUUUUAUAUUCACUUGUUUAUCAAAAACAUGUCUUUUAGAAAAUAAUUUAAAGUCUAAUCUGCCCACUGAUAUUAUAUUAAAGGGCUGCAGUAUAUUGACUGUACAAAGGUAGCAUAAUUAAUAGUCUUUUAAUUGAAGACUUGUAUGAAAGAUUGGAUGAAAUAUUAACUGUCUCUAAUUUAAAAUUAAAAUUUAAUUUUUUAGUUAAAAAGCUAAAAUAAUUUUAAAAGACGAGAAGACCCUAUAGAGUUUUAUAUUGAAAUUAUUUAAGAUUAUAUGUAUAUAUAAAAAUUAAAAAUAAAAUGAAUAUUUUAUUGGGGUGAUAAAAAAAUUAAUUUAACUUUUUUUUCUAUAAAACAUAAAUAAGUGAAUAAAUGAUCCAUUUUUAAUGAUUAAAAGAAAAAAUUACCUUAGGGAUAACAGCGUAAUAUUUUUUUUUAGUUCAAAUAAAAAAAAAAGUUUGCGACCUCGAUGUUGGAUUAAGAUAAAAUUUAAAUGCAAAAGUUUAAAAUUUUGAUCUGUUCGAUCAUUAAAAUCUUACAUGAUCUGAGCUCAAACCGGUGNNAGCCAGGUUGGUUUCUAUCUUUAAAAUAAGUAUAUAAAUAUUUUAGUACGAAAGGAUCAAAUAUUUUUAAUAAUUAAAAUUUAAUGAAUAUUAUUAAUUAAAAUUUA
rnacentral:rRNA from 1 species